ensembl:snRNA U2 U2 spliceosomal RNA
AUCGCUUCUCUGCCUUUUGGCUAAGAUCAAGUGUAGUAUCUGUUCUUAUCAGUUCUCGGUGGGAUUCGUGCGGUGUAUGGGGCACCACUGAGAUAAUUUUUAUUUGCCCCAACACCUAGCACUUUUA